GUUUGCAUAUAGCUAGAUAUCGGUCGUAGGACAUCACCGUGAGAAAAAGGCACUCUGCGGCAGACGUUAGACAGUGAAAAUGAAACUGUGUGAUGCAGCCAAUAAGAGAUAUUGUGCUUUCUAAAUGUAAAAUAUCAUGGAGCAUAUUAGGCGUUAUAUUGGUAGUGACCAAAAUAUCGCAGGCGGAUAAGUGACUAAGGAAGAAAUACAUGGGAGAUUUCAGAAUCGGAACAGUUGCCACCAGUGAAAUGAUCAGAAAAUUUAAAACUAAAGUAAAAAAAUAGAUAAAAAUAAAUAAAACAAAUAAUAAAGUGUUAAUAAUUGGAGAGUUCUGAAAUCCCAAAAUAAUGAAUUCUGUUACCACUGUUUGGUUCAUUU